rnacentral:lncRNA from 10 species
GUAUAUCUAAAGGAUUAAGAAUUUCCAAUUGAUGUUUGUAUAUAGAAAUGCACCUAAUCUGUGUAUAUUCAUCUUGUAUCUACAACCAAGAAACUCAAUGAACUUUGGUACUCUGUGAAUGCUAGAAAAAUAGUGAAAAUCAUGGAGCAACAAAAGAAUUAUCUUUUUUCUUAUGUGAAGUAUAUAUGGGCAUUUGAGAACUCACAAGAGAUGGUUCAUGUCAUUACUGGGGCUGAAGAAAUAAGAAAAAAGAAUGGUUAUUGGAAUCUGAAAACUGGGAGUGCCGAGUGGAUAGAGCUGUGUAACAGGACCUGUGGCCUUAGGCAAGUGACUUAGCCGUGCCAUGCCAACUCUGUUGGGAGAGUCAAGGAACUGGCUCUUACACUUUUGAGAUGCUCAACAAAAGCUGCGUGUAUGGAUGCAUCAUUGGUCAAGAUUGCAAGGUAAGAGUUUACUUGCAUCUGAGAACUUCAUAGUUUCUAGCUAAACAUCAACUUAAUAUCUAGUUGUCAGAAUAUUUGCCUCUUCACACAUACAUCAUUAUUAGGAAAGGAAAACCUUUAAUAUCACAAAUUUCUUACUGCUAAAUUAGAAGCCAAAAGAUUUAGGAUACAGGAGAAUAAAGAGGAAGAAAGGGUUGGUAGUUUAAAACUUAUUUUUAUUUGUAAAUGUCAAAAAAAGUUAAUUAUUCAGCCUAUUUUCUUCGUGUUUGAUAAACUUUAUAAUCUAAGCUUUUAAGAAAAGGGGAAAUAAUGCUAACUAAAAUAUGUGAAUAGGGCCAAAUUAUUCAAAAUUGAAGAAGAAUUAACUGAGGAAGAAUCACUGAACAAACUUCAUGGUUUUGAUACAUUAGUUACUGGGAGUAAUAAGAACACUGGCAUUCCUCUUUGAUCACUUAAUUAUAAUAUUGUUAAAAACUUGGAAGAAAGGGUAUUUAGUUGUUGCAAAAGUCAUACAUAUAAAUUACAUUUAGUUGAGAAUUGUUUGGUUUCCUACACUGUCUACUCCCAUCUCCAAGUAUAUAUUAGCCUACAUUUUUUUGUUAUUAAUUUAUAGAAUUCACUAGUUCAAGAGACGUUUAAUCUAACUUAGUAGAUUUACUCAGUUUUAUUUCUCAGUCCAUACUCUAGGUGCUGUAGAAUGCCACUUUGCUCAUCCAAAAAGAAACAUUUUUAUCUUCUUCACUAAUUACUCACUUUUCGUGUCCAGAGUAAUGCAUUACUGAUUUACAGCCAUAUUUUUUUCUAUAUAAAAAGGAAAGAUAAUUGGUAACACUUAAGAACACAGGUAAUUAAACAGCAUGGCUGAAUAUCUAAGUUGCUUAAUUUACCAGAAAUCAUUAAUGUAUAGCACUACUUUGAUAUAUUUUAAAAUUAUAAAAUUAUGACAUUUAGAGUAAUUGUUUCUGGUUUUGGUGAUUAUUCAUACUCCUUUGUAUUUAACCUUAUGUUUACUUGACAGUAGAAUGGUUCGUUCUUCCUAACCAAAUAAUCAACUUAUAUUUGUGUAUUUAAUUAACGUUAAUUUAUUUUAUUAAUUUGCUCAAUAACUAUUGGUGAAGGAAAUGUUCUAUCUUAUUUUGGGCUUUUAUUUUAUUUAAUUUUGGAGACAGGGUCUGGUUCUGUCACCCAGGCUGGAGUGCAGUGGCAUGAUCACAGCUCACUGCAGCCUCCCCCCACACCAGCUCAAGCAAUCCUCCCACCUCAGCCUUCUGAAUAGCUGGGACCAUAGGCACAUGCCACCACACCCCCUAAUUUUUAUUUUUUUUCUUAAAGACAGGGGUCUCUCUAUGUUGCUGAGGCUUGUCUUGAACUCCUGAGCUCAAAGGAUCCUCCUGCCUCAGUCUCCCGAAGUGCUAGUAUUACAGGUGUGAGCCACUGCACCUGCCUUAUAUUGCACCUAUUUUAAGCCACCAUUUUAAAUGGUUUUAGAAAGUGAAAAAGACAAAUUUUCUGUCCACAGCUGAGAUGUUGGAAGAAGAUAUAGGAAUAAUUGAGUAUGCACACAGAAGUAAGCAGAAUAAGAGAGACUUAGAUAACGUGCUAGGGAAUCACAGAAGUGAGUCAUUAACUUAUUUGAUAGUUCCUAAAACUGUUUCAUCAAACAGAUAAAAUUUGAAUUGGCAUUUAGAAUGAGUAAAUGUUUUUCAGAUGGAGGAUUUGGUAAUAGCAUCCUAUUUAGAGAGUGCUUAAAGUGAGCCCAUGAUGCAUCAGAUACUUAGGGGCAAGGUCAAAUACAGCCAGAGUACAGGAUGUGUGACAGUAUAACAGGCUUUAUCUAGACUCUAAAAUAACUCCUAUUAUAUCACAUCUUGUGAAGCACAGUAGACAUUGGAAUAACCAAAUCCUUAAAUGUCAAACAUGCUGCCAUCCAAUGCAGUGACAAUUCUGGAAAAUGCUCUGAUUCUUUUCACUUCCAAUGGCCCUACAAUGGCUUUUCCACAGCCAUUAUUCUUGAUAACCAUUGUCCUGUUUGGCUCUCCUGCUCUUGUCACCACAACUGAUGCCCAAAUUCUGCAUCCAAGUUUCAAGUCCUAGAUCUCAGAUUAGGAAUUACAUUCCUCCCUUGAUUAAUUCAGCUCUUUCGACCAAAUAGCUGGAGCUCUAAAUUGUUGGAGAAAUCCCCUAAAAAUUAAAUUAAUUAUUUCUAAUGUAACAUGAAUAUAUGACUUAAAGUGAAUUUGCUAGAGGUAGCCAAUAUUAAAAUCAAAAUUACUUGUUCAAAUUGACUCAAAUAGGUGUCCAAAAUAGGAUAUGUCCCUUUGAUCUCAAGUGUUUUCCUUGCAUUUUCAGAAUUCUAUUCUCACAGUCUCCACUGGUAUAUUUUUUUGCUUUUUCCAAACGUGUUAUAUAUACAUACUGUCAUAGAAGCAAAAUCAUUUAUUUAAACUAUUUAAGUGUAAUUAACAUAUAAAAAGCUGUGCAUAUUUAAUGUCUACAUCUCAGUGAGUUUGAGGAAAUGUAUACACCUUUAAAACUAUCACCACCAUCAAGAUCAUAAACAUAUCUCUCACCUUCCAAAGUCCCCUCCCUCCUCCUUUAUUAUUAUUCUGAAGCAAACCUUUUAAAUUGACAUUUAUCUUUAGUAUUCCAUCCUAUUUAGCUAUGUGGUAUUAUUCACUAAGCACAUUCAUAGCCCUUCUGCCUGUCCAUCUAAUGAGAGGCAGAGUGGAAUAAUUUGGAAUCACAUAAUAUAGGGUUUUCAUAUUCACUCUGCCGCAUACUUGCUUUGUGAUUUUGUGCAAGUCACUUAACUCUCUGAUCCUCAGUUUCUUCACCUAUGAAGUGGAGAUAGUGAUGGUACUUUGCAAGGGUUUUGUGAGGAUUUAAUAAAUAUAAAGUUCUUAUUACAAUGCUGGACAUCACAGACACUCAACAGUGUAGCUUAUUUUUGAAACGAUGAUUAUUGCUCUGAGCUUCCUGCUUUACUUCCAAAAUAUCUACUAUGGUUUUGAUAUUUUCCAUUAGUAAUCUGUUUAAAACCUUAAUUAAACUAAAGUCUAUCCUUUUCUUUCUAUCAGCCAAGUUGUGACAGGAAAAUAGAAAACACACUGGGCAUUUCAACAAAGAACUUUUAUAGAAGGAACUAUAGAAGCAUAGGUAUGGAGAGCUGAAAGGGUGAAAAGAGAACAUGAGGGUAAUAAUAGCAGGAAGCAAGUGUCACCCCCAGGAAACAGACUGUAAUUCUUAGAACCUAGUCUUAGAGGAAGAUUCCAGUGGAGUUUGACCUCAGACCUUUGAGGAGGAGUACUGCUGGCUGAUCGUGCUGUUAGAGAUUAUGCAGUGAGGCUGGUUCUGAGAAUAGCAAAGAAGCUGAAGCCUGCAAUCAACAGCUGCUAUUAGCUUCAUGUCUUCCUUCAGCACCCUCCAUUGUCAGAGCCUGACAGAAAGCCAGCAGUCCAAAGAGAAAUACAGUUUGCAAAGUUCCAGCCCAAGCCUCACAAAGCACAGCCUAGAUGGGUGAGUUUAAAGCGAGAGGUAACUGAGUUAAUAGCAAGUAUCUACAGUCAAAUGUCUGGCUACUGAGUGAGCACACACACUCUUCUACAGAUACCCGAACUUCAACAAAACUGCAAUUACAACACUAUGCUCCUGACUAAAAUGAUGUAAGUCUUCUGUGGCAUAUGAAGAUGCUUUACUGCGUCUCUAUAAAAGGGAGACACAAAGUUCCAAAGGUCAUGGCAUCCCCAUGAGAUUUACUAAAAGCUAAUAAGUUGGAUCUUGAAUCAUCAUUAGCCCAUAUUCAGCCUGUAUUACAGAAGCCUAGAAGUUCAUACCAGAAGAGAUGUCUUUGAAGAGAAUUUUUAGGAGUAGCAAGUGCUCUGGGAAAUGGGAUGAGGUCCUCUUUCUGUACUCAGCCUCAAGUGAAAGUGAGUUCAAACAGAAAAUGCUUUUCUUCUAAAACUCCAAUUCAGACCUGCUUCUUGUUAUUGUCAGCGCAGGACUAGAGAUUUUUGGAAGAACUUUGCAUGGAUACUUGUUUGGAGUUCCUGUGCCUGUGUCAUACAGGCUGGAUAAGCUUAAUUUCCAAAGGUUGCAGUGGCAAAAAUUGUGAAUUUUCCUAAGGACUAAGUCAGUUGAUGGAGACUACUCAGAUUGAGCCUCCUUGAAUAAGUAAAUAAGUACAUAGUUAAAGAGAAUAAAAGGGUAUUAUAGGGUGAAAAAGGUAGCAAUAAUUUAUGUGCAAUAAAUAAAAUAUACUUUUCAGUGAUAAGAAAAUGAAUACAGAGAUUCUGUUUCAGGAAACUUGACAUAUCAAAUAAUAUAGAAAAAUAAGCAAAAAUGCUCUUUCUACAAUAUAUAUGAGAAGCCUGAAGAAAAUUUCACUAAUGCCUUUCAACUGCAGAGCUGACUUUAUAGGAAAUUUAAAAAAGACUGUAAAUCUAACUGUAUUAAUUAAAAUUCAAGCUGCAGCUCCAAUGAAGAUAUGUCCUGAUCCAAGAACCUUGAGAUGGAGUAAUAAUCAGGAAGAAGAAUCCCCAGAUUUGGUGAUUGAUAUGGUUUGGCUGUGUCUCCAUCCAAAUCUCACCUUGAAUUGUAAUAACCCCCACAUGCCAAGGAUGGGGCCAGGUGGAGAUAAUUGAAUCAUGGGGGUAGUUUCCCUCAUACUGUUCUCAUGGUAGUGAUUAAGUCUCACGAGAUCCGAAGGUUUUAUAAAUGGGAGUUCCCCAGCACACACUCUCUUGCCUGCCGCUGUGUAAGAUGUAACUUUGCUCCUCAUUCACCGUCAGCCGUGAUUGUGAGGCCUCCCCAGCCAUGUGGAACUGUAAGUCAAUUAAACCUCUUUCCUUUAUAAAUUACCUUGGGUAUGUCUUUAUUAGCAGCAUUAAAACUGACUAAUACAGCGAUUAACUAGAUAUCAGGAGUAAAGAAGCCAAAUGGUUAAGGGGUGAUUGAAUAAAGGAGAAAAGUUUUCAACUUGAGAAAGUAGUGGGAAGUAAUUUGGGAGGCAGAAAUAGAAACAAUUUCAGUCCUAAGCAAAACUUGAUAGCCUGUUGUGACGUCUUGGUGGUCCGGUGCCUGGGAGCACCGGGACAGAGGAACAAAACUUAGAAGUCACCAGUAGACAUAAAGAUGAUGACUGUUGCUGUGAGAAGUAGUUAAGAUUGUUAAGGAAGGAGGGACUGUAGAGAGGCUCUGGGAUGAAAGUAACAUGGAGAAACACCACUAUGUAAUGGCUGGGUAGCAGAAGAGGGGCCUAUGGUGGGGUGUGUAAAUGGGUUUCUAUGGAUAUAGAAGAAAAUGACUUAGACUCCACAAAAGGAAUGCUCUUAAAGGAUAAAAAGGUUAAUCAGUGGACUGAGAAGCUGCCUAGAGCUUGAGGCUAGAAGUUUGAGACCAGCCUGAGCAACACAGUGAGACCUCAUGUCAACAAAAAAUAAACUAAAAAAGUUAGCCAGGCAGGUUGGCAUGUGUCUGUAGUCUCAGCUACUUGGGAGGCUGAAGUAGGAUGAUCAUGUGAAGUUUGAGGCUGACGUGAACUAUGUGAAACUGCACUCUCGCCUGGAUGACACAGUAAGACCCCUGUCUAAAAACAAACAAAAAAACAAAACAAAACAACAAUGACAAAAACAAACCAAAAAAACAAACCUGCCUAGCGAUCAGACUAGAAGUGGAAGCAAGCCCUGGAUUUAGUAACAAGGAGAAUUUGGGAGAAUUUAGGAGUCUUUAUUGAGAAUAGGUUAGCUAUUAAUCUGUCGAAGCAGUAUUUAAUCUCCUGCUCCUUUCAAAUUCCCACCUUCCUUUCAGAGGGUCCUUAUUCAUCAUUCUAUUUUACAUAUUAGAAAACUGGGGUCAGAGAGAUUUACUCAGUUGACUAAGGCAGGGGCCAGCCAACUGUGACUGUGGGCCAAGUUCAGUUUACUGUUUGUAUCUGAAAGCUAAGAAUGGUGUUAACAUGUGUAAAUACAUGGUUACAUUUAAAUGAUUGUAUAAGUGCUUAUAUAAUAUUGUUGAUUUUCCCUUUCCAUUCUCAAAGCCUACUACUGACUUUACAGAAAAAGUUUCUUGACCUCUGCAGCCUGUCUUAUAGUAAGUGAAAAUGAUAGGAUAAAAGUCUUCUGUUCAUUCCACUUCCAAAACAACUCAGCCAGUCAAUAGAACAAACCUCCCAUUCUCUAACAAACAAAAAUAACCUCCAUGAAUUAGCUACAUAUUAAUGCAAAAUAUUAUUAAAUACCAAAGAAUCAAAAUGUAAAUGCAGCCUGAUAGCAGAGAUUUCAAAAAAUCUUCUUAGAAUGAUCUUCUGGACUUGGUCUUCAAUAGUUUUGUGUAGUUUAAGAAUCAAUCAAAUAUUUUCAAUCAAAUAAAGUAUCUAGAGGAUGAGAUGUUUCUUGCUGAAACAUUGUCCUAACUAAAUCACAUAUGUAGGCUGGGGAAAUAAAGAUUUGACCUAAUUUUGAUAAUUUAAAUGCAAAAUAGUUUUUAUCUUCCAGAGAAGAGGAAAAGUUAGGAUUUUGACUUUAUUUUAUGUAUGAAAUAUAUUAGAAUUUUAAAACUUUAAAAAUACAUCUUAUGGCCCUUCUAGUUCCUUAAUUUGUAGUAUUGGUAGAUUUUUAAUAGAUAUCAAGAGUAAUUAAUUUAUUCACUCUGGGGAAGUAUUUGAUAUGCUGAGUCAAUUAAUGAAUAAAAGAACCCUGUUCCUUCUCUUUUCCCACAGAAUAACAAAGGGGCAUGAGGGAGGGCAUACUCUAUCUCAAGAGGAUAAACAUUAGUUUUAUCUCCUCUUUUAGAAGCUGCAUACCCAUAAGACAAACUUUUUAGUAUCCUUGAUUUUGUGACAUCAAUUUUAAGUUGGAGAGUUGGGGGAUGCAGAAGGAAGUGUUGAUCAAGUGAAGGGCUGGUCCACUCUAUUGCCGGUUCACUGUCAAUAUCAAAUGAAAUAAUGCAAGUGAAAUUACUUUAAAAAGUAUACAUAAAUGUAGGAGGUUAACUUUUUCUAAGAGAAAUAAGAAAAUACAUCCAAUUAAAAUUGUAAAUUUUAAAAAACAGUGACGUAUCUGUCAUGGUAAAUAGUAAAAUAAAAAGAUUUGACUUAAACAAUUCUCCUAACAAAUAAAACUAAAAUAUAUUUUCCCUUGUACAGGUAGGGUAUAAAAGAAAUACAAAGAAUUAGAUUUCUCUCACUUUUCAAGGAAAGUACAAUGGGAAUUCUUUGAAUAAGAUUAAAUUCAAACUGUGAAAACAAGCCAAAACCUAAACUUUAAUUCUACUCAAAAGUAAAUGACAAUAAUAAAGAUAUUGUUAUUUAGCAUGAAGAGAAUAUGGAAUUUGGGGUCAGUAAAAUGGUCAGGAGCAUAAUUUAACAACAUUGAAUACUGGCAUGUGCUAUGGUCUGAAUGUGUCCCUCCAAAAUUCAUAUAUUGAAAUCCUAGCCUUCAGUGUGAUGAAAUUAAGUGGCAAGGCCUUUGGGAGUUGAUUUUGUCCUAAGGACAAAACCCUCAUGAUUAGGAUUAGUGCCCUUAUAAAAGAGAUCCCAGAGAGCCAGUUUGCCUCUUGUGAGGACACAGCCGGAAGGUGCCCUGUAUCAGCCAGAGAACAGGCCCUCACAAGGUACCAAAUCUGCCUUGAUUUUGUACUUCCCACCCUCCAGAACAGUGAGAAAUAAAUUUCUGCUGUCUAUAAGCAACCAAUUGUAUGGCAUCUGUUGCGACCAAUUUUAUGCCCUGACUGGACUAAGACAGCAUGAAUAUGUUCAUGUAAUAUAAUAAUAUUCAUACAAUGUGAAUUAUUUUAAAAACUAGACUUAUAGUUUGCACAAAACAGAAUAAAAUAUUUAAGUGAAAAAAAUGGGCAGUUUGAUUUAAUACAAAUUGUCUAUCAGAUAAAAUGACAAUAAAUUACUUAAAGCAUACUUUCAUUUAUUUUUAAAAUGUUAAUAACGUUUUAAUUUGAAUAUAUAUUACAAAUAAAUAGAAUCACUGUUUACACUGAAGAUCAAGAGCUUCAGGGAAGAAAGUCAAGUAGCUUUAUGGUUACCAUUAUUAAGGAUCACACAGGCAUUAAAUGAAGAAGACAGCAAAUUAUUCUUCAUUUCUUUAAUCAUGUGGUAACAAAGAUAUAGACCUAUGAGUGUAAUUUGAUACGAACUUUUAGACCAUGGUGAGACAAAAUGGAGGGAGUUGCAUGGUAGGAAAGAAAUAUGACCCUAAGGGAGUAGCAAAUAAAAAGAGAAAUGAUUAAAAAACAGGUGUCCUGAUGUGGCUUGUCUAAAUUAAAAGAGAAGGCAGAGUUUUAAAAAAUUGUAUAAGUAUGUAUAUCCAAGUUUGUGUAGUUGAGUAACUUCUGGGUUACUCUAGGCCUGUUUCUUCUUCCACUGACUACUUUGUCGUUCCAGUAUAAAUAAAUCAAGAUUUGCAAUACCUGUGAUUGACUGGAAACUAAUUCCUAGGUAAGAUUAGAGAACUCACAUUCCUUAGAGGUAUCAGGGAAGAUUGAGACACCUGGCAUGGGAGAAAGUGACACAGAGAAUCAAAAUUCUUGACCAAUCUUUUAUCUAGCAUUUUUGAAAUCACAUAAAUUUUAACCUGGCAUUUUGAUUAUAACAAGCACGGUUGUAAACCCUUACAUACAUAGGGAAAAAAUGUCCCCCAAAUUUCACAUGGCCCACUUUGCUAGACGAAGAGACUUGUGCUAACGAACAUUGGAUUUUAAUUCUCAGCCAUGAAUUUAUGUUAAACAAUUCUCUUUGGCUGUAAGCCAAUGACAUUAUGUUUAGAAAGUCUUGGGACUUUCUAGAUCAAGAAGAAAAUGAUUGUAAAUCCAUAUUUCAAUUUUAAUUUUGUUUGAACAGAAGUAACAUUUCUUCAGCAUUUAUAAGUUCUAUGUAUUUCCACUUGGGGAGAAAUGGACACUGCUUUGUCACCCUACACAUCAACCUAUCAGAAAAAAUUUUUUUUGAGCUUUGGGAAUUUCACAUAACUGUUUGCCUCCAAUAUUUAAUACAUUAGAGCAAUAUAGCCAAUAAUCUUAUGAUUUCUCAAUGUCUCAAAUGAUUUCAGAAAUUUGAUUCAAUAAUUUCACUUUUGAAUUAUAUAAGAUCUUAUUAAAUAUCUACUAAGAAAAUGAAGCCAUAAAUCAAUCCCUCUGUUUCAAAUUGCUUUGAAAGUGGGUUCCCCUUUUCUCCCAUUGCAAUGCUAUUUCUGAUAAUAGUUUAAUGAUAUACUUUUGUAUGGUAGGGAAGAUCAUCAUAUUAUGAUUUCUUUUCUAGACCAAACUUGAAAAAGUGAUUUGUGGAAGCCCUGCUUUCGAUAAAGUUGGAUCCUUUCUGAGCAGUGUAUAAAUUUGAUCAGAAAUGUUGGCAGUCUUUGGUACCAAAGCAUGAAAUCGAGAAAUAAUGAAGCAUGAAGCUUCUUUUUUUACCAAACCAGAGAAACCAGAUGUUAUUACAGAGACCUGUCUUUACAGAGUACUGAGAUUUUUUUCCUAGUCAAAUGUGGCUGCUAACACUAACACACACAAACGACAAUUUUGAAGAGGUUGACAAUCUCUAAAAUUUCAAACAGGAGCCCUUAAAGUAGUCAGGCUUUUGUGACUGCAUCAGCAGCACAUAAUGCACUAAACUCAGGAAGUGGAUGUGAUGCAGGAGAAUAGGGUCUGGAGGCAGGCAGCACGAGUCUGAUUCAUGCUGACUUACUAGAACGAGAUCAAAUGGAAACACUUCAGCAAUGACAUAAAUGUGAAUGGCUUUGCAACUUCACUUCAUCCUCUCCAUUUACAAAGGCAACAUGCACCAUGUUACAUCUUCUCCAUUUACGUAGGCCACAGGCACCAAGCAACAUCCUCUCCAUUUACAUAGGGCACGUACUGAGUAAAUGACUUUGUAACUUGACUUCAUUCUCUUCAUUUACAUAGGGCAUACAGCAAGUAACCAAUGAGAAACCUCGAGAGAGUAUUGAAACCCCAGAAAAUUCUGUAACCAGGACUCUUGAGCCCCUGUGCUCGGGCCCACUCCCACACUAUGGAGUGUACUUUCAUUUUCAAAAAGAAAAUCUUAAAUCUCUGCUUUUGUUGCUUCACUCUCCUGGCUUUUUUUUUUGUGAGUGUUGUCCAAUUCUUUGUUCAAGAUGCCAAGAACCUGGCCACCUUCGACCAGUAACAGAUGGACUGAGAGAAACCAGUAGAUUCAAAUUAUUGUCCAAUGUAGAAAAAUGGAAAAGUUACCAUAUUCCUUGGUAAUUUGCUUUAGAGUUAUUGAAGAAACUUUAGAGAUAUUAACACAGAUGGCAUUAUACAGAGACAUAGCUGCUUCUGUUUUACUCUGCUCAAAGACAUGAACAAAUUCAACUUAUUCCCAGGGUACAUAACCUAGGGUGUUAUUUCUUUUGUUUGAUAAUAGGAUAAACAGCAUAAUGGGACACUGCAGUGAGGAUGCUUUUGUUUUGAACAAAUCAAAAGGUCACAGUCUGACAAUGAGAUGAACUAAACUGAGAUUUGGAAGGUAGAAGAAAAAAGAGGAUUAUUCUUCAGAAGCCUUUGAAGCCAAGGGUGUGGGCAGAUGACAGACAAGAAGUUCACAGCAGCUUGCUGACAACAUCCUACAUCUCACCUGCUUUAGGCUUUGUAUAGCUUAGAUAGCUCAUGGUGACUUCUGGAGAAUUGUUCUCCUUGGUAUUGCAGAUUCAAAUAGUCAGUGGAAGCCACUCAGCAGUUCUUGAGAUUUCAGUGACUUCUGGAGGAAUUUUUAAGAACCAUCUACUUUAGUGCCAUAGGCUGGAAAUAUUGGUGAGAGCUUCCCUUUCUUUACUCUCCGAUCCAUACAAUGGUUUUGAAAAACUUUUAGUUUCUUCUAUUGAAAUCCUUCAUACUUGGAAUAAUAAAAUAGCUUCUAUUUUCAUGACCAAACAUUGACUAUUACAAAAAUAUUUCCCCUUAUUUGAGAGCCAAUACACAUGAUAGAAUCUAUACAUGAUAGAUGUGUAGAGGACAAGAUUGUUAUAUGUUUUGGAUAAGUUAGAGAACCUAGCCAGUACUCUUUCUUGAAUGGUAGGCCACCCUACUUUCAAUUCUCCUGUGCUGGUAGACCAGAGGUACUACAGAGUCAAAGAGAGAAACACUCAGAUUAAAAUGAACAAAUAAAAAAUAAAAUUUAAAAAUGUUAUAUUGUUCUUUGAGAAAUAUUUUGUAAUCUGCCUGCUC